UCAGACCUCUACGACAUACAUUGCUUUAUCUUGAAACGUUCGUGAUGUUUCAUGAGAUCAUAGCACGUUUUCCUUGUACGUGUAUGUGUGUGUAUGUUUACAUUCUUACGUGUCGUACACGUACACGAGCGUAGCGUAGGUCAAGACACUGAACAUGACGUGAACAGCUUCGCUGUUACGAUCGGUCGUCAUGCCGGCGGUCAGCGAUGAUAGUCACGUCAGGCAUGCCCCUGCUUGAGACAGCAGGUGUGAACAUGUCUGAUCCGUUUUCCGUAUGCUGCAAUGUGCCGCAAUACUUAAGACCAUGGUGUAAUAAUGCAUGAACAUGAUAGUCUGUGGCCAUAGCAACCAAACUAUUCCGAAAACCUUAUCUUGGGUUUUACAAGAACUACGCGGGCUAAUUGCUUCAUGAUCUCGUAAAUCACGUCACAUUUACCUAAUAAGGUAAAUGUACGAGUCCCGUUUCGGAAUGAGGAUAACCAUAAAAGGUAUAUGUAUCGUUAGGUAUUAAUGUUUGUGGUUAACCGCAAACCACAAACCGCGCUGAUAUCGUUGGGCUUUUCGUGAAUUUCAGUGAGUUUGCGUCAUGUAGUUACAAACUGUCGCUGGGCGGCAAAACUUUCAGGCUGCAUUUAGAAAGUUGAACAACUCGUUGCAAGCUCAACUUUUCAUACGCGUUGCGACGUGUUCUCUGACGGGCUCGAGCCGCUGGUGAUAAGCCUGAGCAGAAUACAUGGUUUUUUCUUCAAAGAUAGCACAGUCGCCGCGACUCGUUCUAUUGUGUUACCACGAGCUCCAUGCGGCGUUGGAGAGUCACGUGCGUCGCGGUCUUAUCGGUAGCUCGAUGGUGCGGCCAAGAUACCGAGCACCUGGUUGGCGUGCACGUUAAUCUUGUACGGAGUUGGAAAAUGUUAGCAUCUCAAGACGUAUACACUUUGUGCUCUUAGAGUAUUGACCACAUUAGGUACAAACUUUACUCCAGUUUGAAAACGAACCGCAUGACAACAUUUAUUGAAUUAUGUCACAAACAUGUCGACAUCUAUGGUGAUGACAUCAGGAUCAAUAUAUUGAAAUAGUUGCACAUUAUUGCAAUAUUAUUACCAUUGUUUCUAAUGGGUGACGAAUCGAUAUUAACCGCGCGAUUGCGGUUUAACCAUUAUUGAUUAAGGUAUUUCAACAUUAUUGCCUAAUUAUUUUUCCUUGACUUGCGUCAUGUCUGAAUAAUUCCAUUGCUCCUUGUAUGGCAAUUCCCUUAUCAGUUUUCGACCUAUAUAACGGCCCUGUAUCCCUCAUGAUAUUCAUAAGUUCAUCGACAGCCACUGCGUAAACAAGUGCUUCCAGAUCAAGACUGUGACCAAGCUCCUCCAAAGCAAAGACCCGAACAUCAACGUCCGCUCUCUGCUCUGCUGAAUCGUGACUCCUGAAUAAGACUCUACAAGAUGCAAAAUCUCAUGCUGCUCUGUAUGGCUAUGUUCCUGGCGGCGGAUGCGAGGCCAGAACCCGGGACGAAGUUGCCCUGCAAUCCAAGACAAUACACCGAUCCCACGAGGUCCCGCUCAAAAGAGGAACCACCGGAAGCACACCAAAAGGUUGUCAAGAUUCCAGGGAUCCUGUCGACCCGAAUAGGAUUCCUUGACGGCCCAGAUCUGAAUCAACGUUGGCCCUUUGAAUAUAAAGUUGUUGUGCCUGACUGUGCUUAAGAUUUUUGUUAUGUAUUCACGCUGUAAACAACCGAGUAGUUGAUAAGUUUGCUUAUUGUAAUGCUUCUUUUUCUUCACUUUUUAAAAUAAAGAUUAUUGCGCAAUAUUUCUUGGUAUCAUUGACGUAGAAUAAGCUGACGCAACGUCCAGUAGGUAUCCCAACUCACCUGUAUACCUGGCUGAGCUUAGGUCACGAUCGGUCUGCUAGGCUGAAUGGAAUGUGCAUCGGACCGACGUGCAGAUGUAGGCUUCACGCUGCAACUCGUGCAACGCGGUUACCCUAGGA